rnacentral:tRNA from 3 species
GGUUUCGUAGCUCAGCUGGUAGAGCAUCGGACUGAAAAUCCGUGUGUCGGCGGUUCGAGUCCGCCCGAAACCA